rnacentral:lncRNA from 1 species
CCUGGACUCUCCAACCUUUAGACACCAAAAGAGAUAAGAAGAAAUUAGCAAAAGAGAUUGAGAAGAAGAAUAGGAAGAAAAACAGCUAAAAGAAGCAAUUAUUUCAAGUGAUCAACUGUGUUAAAUGCUGGUGAUGGGAUGGAGUUUCACUCUUGUUGCCCAGGCUGGAGUGCAAUGGCACCAUCUCAGCUCACUGCAACCUCCACCUCCUGGGUUCAAGCGAUUCUCCUGCCUCAGCCUCCUGAGUAGCUGGGAUUACAGGCAACCAUGGAGAAGAUUGUAUGCUGAGAUGGAAGACCCAAAAGAUUGAAGCAGCCUGGAUAACUCGGGUACCACACAGAGGACAACUGCCCUAGAGAGUUGCCUUGACCCGCAAAAGACAUUGCCUGAGAUGAAAAUAAACUUUUAUUGUGUUAAA